AGCAUUCACCAAGGAUGAACUGAAAGCAGGAUCUGUCUCACCAUACACUGAGAACUGUAGAAUAUGCAAGGCACAUGGAACUUAUUUUCUUACGUAUAAAAGCGUGUAUAUGCUCCUUAUACAUCUGUCCUAAUGCUUUCCAACAGUCCUCACUCUAAGCCUCACCAAGACCCAGAUGAGGAAACAAAGGCACAGAGGGAUAAACUCAGAGCAGGAAGACAGCAAGGAAUAGCAGUGAAAAGCAUGGUGCUUAAUCCAACCCCUUACUCACUGCUGAGACCUGGAAAUGUGUUCAUCAGCUACAAAACAGGAGAGAUGAUAACUCAUUAUGUAUAUGUGAUGAUAAACAGAGACAAUAUAUUGAAGAGCUUAUAUGAGUGGCAGACACGGGACAUGCUUCCCUGUGGCUGGCCAGCGUGUCAUCUUCUCCAUGUGUCCAGAGAAAAGCUUUGCAAAUCAACCUCUCGAUGAAUGAUGACGGCACCAGUGAAAUCAGGGGAGGCAGAAAAUCAUGUUAGUUUGGUUUAUAAUGCAAGAAGUUACAGAACACAGAGUGCUCAAAACUAAGAAUGUGCUAGUUGUAUAACAGGGUCCUUCUUGGGACUCAGCCAGGAUUCAAACUAUAAAGGAAAAUCGGGUGACAGCUGCACCCUCUAAAGGCUUCUCAAAUGACAGAGCUCAAUGAAUAUAGAAGGGAAAAGUAUGAGGAUGACCUAUGAGCACAGGGUGGACAGUCUCUGCGGUGGGCAGGCAUUAGCAAAGGAGAGACCUUCUGUAUUAUGCAGAGUGGAAUUUUCCAGAGGCUACAUGAUGAGUGACGUCACGACAGAUUGAGUACAGAGCCAACUAUGAGAAUCCAGCUGCCUUCUAUUAAGGUACCCUUUCUGUGGAUACCUUCAAGUUCCAGCACCAAAUAUGAAGGCGACUGCCAUCACCAGCUCCCACCCCUACAUGAGGUCAAAUCCCUGGAUGGCAUAUAACACACUAGAGCAAUUAAGAGGAUCUAACUAAAGGUGGGGAAGGAAAAAUGUGUGUACAGAGACAGGAAGUCAUGGACACAGUUAUAUUGAAAGAUACAAUGA
ensembl:lncRNA